rnacentral:rRNA from 1 species
GCGCUUGCAACCAGACUUGUGUGUAACAGUUCCCCCUGUCUUUUGACUGGGUUAUUCUGUUAUAUCCAGGCCAGCAUCGGUUCGGGUGGUUGGUUAAAGGCCUUGGGAAUGUAUCUACCUUCGGGUCGACUUAUAGCCCAGGGUGUAAUGCGGCCUACCUGGACCGAGGAACGCGCUUCGGCUCGGAUGCUGGCGUAAUGGUUGUAAGCGGCCCGUCUUGAAACACGGACCAAGGAGUC